CCUACGGGAGGCAGCAGGGAGGAAUAGUGGGCAAUGGACGAGAGUCGGAACCAGCCAAGCAGCGUGAAGGAGGAAGGCCCUAUGGGGUGUAAACUUCUUUUAUAGGGGAAUAAAAUGUUCCACGUGUGGGAUUUUGUAUGUACCCUAUGAAUAAGGAUCGGCUAACUCCGUGCCAGCAGCCGCGGUAAUACGGAGGAUCCGAGCGUUAUCCGGAUUUAUUUGGUUUAAAGGGAGCGUAGGUGGCUUGUUAAGUCAGUUGUGAAAGUUUGCGGCUCAACCGUAAAAUUGCAGUGGAAACUGGCAGUCUUGAGUGCCGUCGAGGUGGGCGGAAUUCGUGGUGUAGCGGUGAAAUGCUUAGAUAUCACGCAGAACUCCGAUUGCGAAGGCAGCUCACUGGACUGCAACUGACGCUGAGGCUCGAAAGUGUGGGUAUCAAACAGGAUUAGAUACCCUUGUAGUC
rnacentral:rRNA from 1 species